rnacentral:lncRNA from 1 species
UAGCUUCGCUAGUUUGUGCUUAGGUGACCCACGCUCGCUUGCUUGUACCGUAGUAAUAAAACGCUCUACAGUUUAUUUCCCUUAUUGUAAGUUGCAGAACACCUCAUUCGCAUCCUUGUCUUUUCCCUCUUUUUUCAAACUGAGAAGCAAGGUUGCUAAUUAAUGAUGGGAUAUCUGCUGUGAGUUUGGUCAACUUCCUGAAUGUGCAGUCAAUACUCUGGGCUUUUCCCCUUUGUUAUCAGUGAACAAAGCACUCAAUUGUUCCAUGAACCUACUACCUCAGGGCAGGCUUGUAAGCAGUGACACUAGAGAUCUGGGGAGAUAUCCAUGGCUGCAGAUGUUUUAAGAUCUUUUUUUUUUGAACCGAAGAUGUUUUAAGAUCUUGAUGUGAGAUCAUAAAGCAUCUCAACAUUUCAACUAUCAAUAGGAUUUGAGAAGUAAAUACCAGCUCAAACAUGUUCCUGGAGGGCCGGUUUUUCAAAUAAGUAAAAAAGAGGAAUUUCAGCGAUUGAUGAAGCGGAGACAGUUAUUUGAUCAUAUACAAGCUUGCUGCAAUAAUAAAAUUUCAUUCAGCUCAAAAUAAUAAUAUCUUUAUUAAAAAACGUAUUAAUAUAUCGCGUGACACAACCGAUACGAGACGCAGCUGUCAUCUAUUUGACCCAGAUAUCCAUGGAGACGAGAUCUAGAUAUCUACUACUUCAAGCUAGAUGUCCAUGGAGUACUAGAGACGAGAGCAGAAGAAGAGAGGAGAUGCAUCAGGCGAUGGAGGCGAGCCGUCGGGAGCAGUGGAAGCGGCGGCGGACGCGGAAGCAGAGCGGGACGUAGCAGAGCCUGGGCGCGCUCUCCACGUCGGUCGCCACCACCCCGCCGCCGCAGUAGGGGCAACGCCCUGCCGCCUGGUACGUCGCCACCACGCGCUCCGGCUCGUCGCACACCACCACCAGGCACAUCCUCAGUCCUCACGGCUCCUCCUCCUCCUCUCGGUAGACGGUGGCCGAUAACCUAUCCUUCCGUUUUCUUCUCUUCUUGUCACCAAGUCAAGCCUCCUCCUGUUUCUAUCUUGUUCAGGCGUGUGUGAAGUGCGGUGCUCUGUGUUCGGUGCAGCACUACGUGGCUCCAUUUGUGUUUUAUUGGACGAGCAAUAAUCGAAGCGGAUUCUAGGCGGUCGGGAGCAUCUGAUUCUCUUUUCUUUCCAAAGUACGCCAACAGCUUACCAUUGAGAAACAGUGAAACAGGGAGAUCUAACACAGGGAACGUAUCUGGUGCACCGGGGCAAUUGAUGCUACCGGUGCACCGGACCUUGUUGCACAUUUAAAAUAAUUAAAAAAAAGAAAAAAAUAGUGCAUUGACACUCUGUCAACGUACGUUGUCAUAAAAACUAAAAUCAAAAUUCGAAACAUUGCUCGAGAUUUUUUUUGACAAAAUUGACAUUAAUGUCUUAAUAGGCCAGAAUUGAAGCGUAACUUGUAUCAUGUAUUAUUCAGUGUCAAAUUUGUCAUUUUUAUAUUCGAGCAAUUUUUCGAAUUUUGAUUUAAAUUUGUGUGACAACAUACAUUCAUGUUGUGUCAAUGCACUAAAAAAACCUCAUAUUUUUUUUGAACAUUUUAAAAUGUGUAAUGGGGGACCGGUAACACUAAUUGUCCCGGUGCAUCACAUACAUUCCCGACUAACACAAACAACCACAGAGCCAUUUUUAGUGGCGCAUCAACAGAGUUUGAGGUUGUCGAAAGUUGUCUAGCUUUUUUUUUUCUAGCAGUUACUGUGUAUUUUACAAACGGACGCCCCCGCGUUGGACCAGUCCAUCUAGCAUUUUCUUAUGUGUUUUGAUCCGCAAAAAGGUAUGCUAGUUGUGAAUAGAACCAGCGACCUCCCUUAUCGGGGUACGGUAGUGUAACCACCCCGCCACCUAGCAGGAUUCGUAACAUUCAACUUUUACCUUUUUUCUUUUUUUUUUCCUUUUUCUUCUUUCUCGUUCGAUGAAUUGUUGGCAAAUACGUGAACUUUUUUCUUCAAAUCGAUGAUUUUCUUGGAAUUCGAUGAACUUUUUUUCAAAUUUGAAGAAAUUUUCUUUAAUUUUGAUGAUUUUUCCAAACUUGAUGAACUUUAAAAAAAAAUCCAUGAAUCUUUUCAAUUUCUAUGAACUUUUUUCAAAUCUAUCAAUCUUUUAAAAAAUCAUGCACUUUUUGAAUUCAUAAUUUUUUCUUUAUGAUUUUUUUAAAUGAGAUCGAGCGAACCUAGAAGGGAGCAACUAGUUGACGAACGCUCCUUCGGGAUUUUUUAAAUAGGAGCUCCCCACUACAAGGAACUCUCUUGCUUCUCCUUAAGCCACGUCACCCCGACUAAUUCUAGCCAUAGAUUAAGGCAUGCAUUAUAGGUAGCCAUCGGAUUCAAGGCAACCUCCUCUCUAUUCACCUCUACACAAUUCACCGGCACAUCAGCGCAUGUUCUACUUCCGACUUCCAAUCAAUACAGUUAUGAAGCCCAAAUGAGUGGGCUGGCCUUCUCCGCUUCCCCUCCUUGCCGCCGUUUAUUCUUCCCCUUCCCCAUCACUCUGCUAUGCCCAAUCUUCCCGUCCCUCUAGUGCCAAUUGUUGCAAUUCGACGCUGAUGCCCUCUGAUUGUAGGCACAUCGGAGCUCUAGCUAUCCGUGCAGGAUGCGAACAUCCCCGCGUAGUUGAAUCAACAUGUGCAAACACCGUUGGUCUGCUCCCGUCCCUCCUCGCACCAGCAACCUCGGACGCAUCGCUCUGCUUCGGGCCUUUCUCGCGCUGGCUUCUUCGGGCACACCAGACCCGGCCAUCGUUGUGGCGGUUUUGAUUCUAGUGGGAUGUUCUGCUCCAUGCGUCCUGACGAUCGGCGGCUUCGGCCGCCCCUGACGCGGCCAGCCCCAUGAUGCCCAGUAAACAUGUGCGCACGCGUUGCUCUGCUCCGAUGGCCUCAGACGUACCACGACCAUCCCCGUCAUGGCCCCGGUUCCAGCGGAUGAGUUCAGGAAGGAGAAGCUCGCUGGCAUCCUCCUGCCUUCUCGACGUCUAUAUGAAAGCCCGCAAGACCAACUGAAGAAGAGCGUGAGCGUCUCUUCUCCUCGUGAUUGGCCAGCCAGUCCGCCACUUGAUGCACUUAUUAGUUGUUGUAGUUUCGGAUUACUGGUGCUGCUUUGGAUGAUUGAUCUUGUGUCUAUUUUAUGGAUUUUCGUGGUCUCCACAGCUCGAAGAGACCAAGACCAGUCUACCACUUCAUGCACUUAUUAGUUGUUGCAGUUUUGGAUUUCUGGUGGUGCUUUGGAUGAUGAUUAAUCUUCUGCUUUUCUAAUUUCAUGGUCUGCACAACUCUGAUCAAGAUCGGUAUCAAUGGUGAGCUCGAGCCUCCAAUCUGUCCUGGGUGCUUGCUUUCUUCUGAUUGGCUUGAUUUUGUGUUAUCAUAUGGUGUUUGCAUGUUUCUUGGCACUUGCUGGUAGUUCCGAGGUGCUUGCUAGCUUCAACUGGGCGAAGACGGAGGCCUACAGACUACGGCAACAACACUUCUGCAGUUUAAGGUCAAGUCCUCCUGUUGUUCUUGAAUUGUAUUUUUUCUGCAGAUGUACAUUCUGCAACCCAUGUGCAGACCAAUUCUAUGUUGUUCUUUGGAUAGGUAAGGGUCUAACAAUGAAUUAAAGCUUCUUCGGUGCGAGCCGUCCUCCUCCAAGAUGGCCCUCUCAGAUCUCAAGUUCGAGCAAGGUUUGGCCUUUGAAGCUUUCAUCUGGAAACAAUAUGGUGUGCCUAUCAACCAUUUCGAAGGCGGCAAGCUCAAGGAAUUCUUCCUAGUGGCUGAGGUGACUCGCUCCAAACUUCGUAUCAAUGUGGAUUCGGUCAGUCUCAUGCUUCAAUCUUGCUUUGGGGGACAUGCUUCACAUUUCAAAGUUUCUUGCCUUCAGAAUUGGUCUUUCAAAUUCAGUGUUUCCUCUAAGAAUGUGGGUUUUGCUAUUAUCAAAUGGGGAAAUUGUGCCAACGAUCUUUUCAAUCUUGGUUUCUUUCUCUGGGGGAAUGGUGGACCGGAUUUCCAUAAAGAGUUCUGGCUCUAUCAACAAGAACUUGAUCAAGAAUGGACUGUGGUAGAUCGAUCAAGUGAUCGUAGAUCCUAUGCCGCGAUGGUUCAAACUCCUAGAAUCUUUCAAGAUCAUACCUCACAUACCAGAUCCCCAUCCAAAUCCCCGAUCAGAUCCAAUAUGCCACUUCCCCUGUCAGUUUCGGAACACCUUACUGAAUCAACGACAACCUUAAACCCUGUAUUAACUGCGCCCAAUAAUGUGGCAAUCGGGAGGGCGGGAUCUGCGGGUUUUCAAAACUCUAGGCCGUUCCAGCCCACUAGGGAGCCCAACAGCCUCUUCUGUGUUUGCUGUCUUGGGGUGGGCCAUCUCAGGCCCGGUUGCGAAAACAGAAUCCGGUGCAGAGGAUGUCGUCGCCUGGGCCAUAUCAAGGAUAACUGCAGAUUCGGUGGCGCGAUCUCCGAGCCGACGCCUCGCAUUCAACCUCCUCUUCUGCUGCAGCAGCCACUUUUGGCUAGUGGCCGUGUGAACCGCCAAUCGCCACAUUUGGACCCACCGGCCAGAGAGACCACCAUCCCUCCUGUUCAGUCAAAUCAAGCCAUUACCGCCGCUGUUGACUCGCAUUCCCACCACAUUCCUCCGCCUCUGCUGCAACCCGCUCCUUCGUCGAGGGUUUCUACCAGCGCUGCCCCAGUCCGACCGCCAGCAAUGCAACAUUCCCCUUCGACCCUGCUCCUUUCCUCCCAGAUGGCUUUCAUGCGAUUGAGGUGGAAGGUCGGCCCGCGCGCCGCCGCGUGCUCCAUGGCAAUCUGGUUCCUGCCAACGAAGAUCUUGCUAUUGCAACAAUCACCGCCAUGCCCCAAGGAGAAGUGAGUUUUAUCAAUGUCCGUGAGAUCCUCCUUGAGUUUCUACAAUCUAAGCGUAUUGGAGUUACGACCGUGACGAAAUGCCCUUUCGGGCAAGCUUUUGUGCGGGUUCACAGUGCGGCGGACAGAGAUUUCUUAGUUAACAGAGGGCCGCAUGCCUAUGAUGACAUCCACAUCAUCUUUCAAAGGCAUAAUGAGGGUCUGAAUUGGAAAAUUUUCAAUCUGAAUCGAGAUGUUUGGCUUCUGGUGUUUGGUUUCCCUACUGAUUUGAGAAGUUUUCAUGAGCUGUCCAAUGCAACUACGGGUUUUGGGCAACUUAUGGUGUGGGACAGAUAUAAAUCCAGUGAUGCCGCGGUUGCUCUGAAAGUUAAGGUUGAUGCUCUGAAGGAUGUCCCAACCAGUCUGGUAGUAUCAGGUGCUAAGAAUUUCAGUGGUCAGCCAUGGACCUGCCGUGUUGUGAUGGUGGAUGACAACCCCAUUGGAGAGCCACCUGCUGACGAGAACCCGAUUCCUGUGGAUGGUAACCCUCAUCCAAGGCCACAAGAACAAUUCCACCACCCAAACCAGAACAAUCUAAUUGUUGGGCCUGUUGCUUUCCAUCUGUUGCAGCCUGAACAUCAAGAUCUACCAGUCGUUGAAGAAGCUCCGGCCCAAGAAGAGGAAGAUGAGGGCUGGGGCCAUUGGGCAAUGCCACAGCAACAACAUCUUAUAGAUGUGGAAAUUCAAGCUGGGGAAUUCCUGGAAUUGAAUGAUCUGAUGGGCCCCCUGGAGAUUGAUGUAGAACAACCAGUGGAUGACAACAGUGGUCUCACCCUUUCCUUGUGUUUACCUAGUGCUAAUGUGAGCUCUGCUGAAUCUGCUAAUGGAGUGCCAAUACUUCAAGAUCUGGAUGAGCUGCUGGCUCCUCUUGUUCUACCUGUAGCCCAGCCUAUUCAUGCUGGCUUUGAUCUCAAUCAGCCCAUUGAACAGCUGCCAGGGGAAGAUUUCAUCAUUCCUGAAGCACCAUUACUACCUAUUGCUGAGAAUGCUAAUUUGGUUGCUGAAUCUCCUCCACAACCUCAAAUGGAAAUGCAUGUGCAAGAGCCAUUACUGCACCAAGACUUUGAAGCUCCCAAUGCAACUUUUGUUGCUGAGGCCCCAAUCAUUAUUGUAGAGGAGAAUGUUGCCACUACUGCUGUUCCUCCUAUUGCAGCAGAAGUGCCAGAUGUUGCAAUGACAGACUUUGCUGCAGAUGUUUCUGCUGCAAUGGAGAUUGCUGCUAUGAUUGCUCCAGCCCAGCUGGCAGACAAGGAGUCUAGUGCUACCACUCCAGAUCCUCUGGCCAAUUCAGAAGGCCCAGCCUCAGCUGCUCAGAGAGUCUCACCUCUAACAGACAACCAGGAUGCAGAAAACUUCAGCUCAUCUGCAAGUCAUAGUAUGGAUGCUCCCCCUGGCUUCCCUUUUCCUGUCUUCAAUGCAAGUUUCUCUGGCAAAGAUAUUCAGUUACAAGCCACUGCAUCUUCAGGCCAAGAUGAGGAGUUUCUCUCAAAGGAAGGGCUGGAGCUUUGGAGCACUCAUUUUGCACCUGUGGCUCCAACAGAUAAAGUUACUCAGGUACCUGUUGAAUGGUGCAAAUUCAUCACUUUUGCUCUAUUGACUAUCGAAAAUUUUGAUUGGGCCAAAUCUUUGCUUGCUUCCCAAUUAUGGACUUACAUCAUUGAAGGUUCUGCAAGUAAUACAACACUGCCUUUUGUUAUACCUAAAAAGUGUCAAAAUGAGCAGAUUCUUUGUUGUAAAAAUUCAGUUAUGAACCAAGAAGUUUCUUCUAGUGAUAGUUUGACACCUCAGGCAUAGCACAAAGAGAUCACUCCCCCUCUGCCAGCUGCCAGCACCUCCAUUGCACAUGCUCAAAAGAAGAGGAAAGAUAAAGCUCCCAUGGUUGAAAUGGAGGUAAGAAGAAGCUAUAGAUUGCAAGCUUUGAACAGAGGAUUCAGGAGAAAAUCAUGUCCAGACAGAAAUUAUUUCCCUUGUUCAUCUGACCCUCCUGCUAUUACUACAAAGAUUGUCAAAAAUCUCACUGUUUCCUUUUGCAAGACUGCUCUGAGGAGAUGCUGCACUAGCCCAAGAAGAAGGAGACCAAGGCUGCUGCCAAGGGACCAUCAAAGAAGGCUGUCUUCAAGCCAUAGUUAGAUUCUUGAUUGUCAGUUAUGUCAGACUUGAACAACUUUAAUCCUAGAUCCUUGAUGCACUUUUGUGGUCUGUUAUCAGUGGUACUUGUGAGAACCAAUCCUUUUGUAAUGAUAUCUAAAUCUGAAAUGAUGACUUCUGGCAUUUGCUUUAUUAUCUACCUCUGUGAUAAACCUUGCAUUUGUAUUAAGAGCAAGCUGUGGUGUGGUGAUCUGUGGUCAUGGGAUCUUGUUUAUUACCUCUUGCUUGUCUGGCUCUGUUUGGCUGGUUUUUUCAGUAUAAAAGUGGCAGUUGCAGAUACCUUAUUAUCUGGAGAUGAAUAGCAAUUGGAAUAUACUUAAUUGGAACAUCAGGGGCAUUAAUGACAACAACAAAUGGCUAUCUCUUAGAAAUAAGAUUGAAGAGCAGUUCAAAAAAAGAUUGAAGAGGCUAAUGCAGAUAUUAUCUGUUGGGGAUAUAGUUAUUGAGUUAACCCGCCCAAGAGGGGCCGGGUUAUAUUCAUGGCGACUCAUAAAGAGAAAGCCCAGGAAGGAAUUGAAGAUGGCGGUUCAUGAAGACAACUUAUGAAGGGCCCAAGGCCCAAAGGCGGCUUAAGGCACGUAGGUGUAAACCGCCAUAUGUAUAUAACUUGUAUGAUAAGGCAAUUGUAGUUAAGUCACCGGGUCGGACACAUUUAUGAGCCGGCCGGGACUCUAUAAGCCACCGGGCGUCAACCUGAGUAUAUAAAGGGACGACCCGGCGGUGAGUUAAGGGCAGAAAAGAAGAGAUCGAAAGCUAGGUCAAGCGUAUUCGCUCCCUGGUAAUUGAGACAUAAGCAAUACCACCUCAACUGGAUUAGGCUUUUACCUUCACCGCAAAGGGCCGAACCAGUAUAAACUCCCUGUGUCCUUUGUCCCAUUUUAACCCCUUUAAGCUAAUCUCGCUGUGAUGGCUCCAUGACUAAGUCCUCACACUAGGACAUCUGCCGUUACAAAACCACGACAGUUGGCGCCCACCGUGGGGCUAUCGCACGAUGGUUUCAAGUUCUUAGAGCGCAACUUCGAAGGGAUCAAGGGAUACGCCGUGGGCCGGAUGACCAAGAGUCAUCGCGGCAAGCUCUACAUCAACGACGCAGGCUGGGGCCCCGAGGCUGGCUCAAUUGAGUACGGGUACCGGGUCCACUUUGGAGGAAUUCACGUCUUCAUCAGCAAGAUCGGCGAGCCAGGCCCUGAGCCGGACAUCUGCACCGACAUCGUCGAGACGGCUCAGCGUGCAAGACCCGCCCGAGUUCAGCCCGCCAUGAAUCGUGCCUUCGUGGGAUUCAUCCAUGGAGCGGAAUCUGAGGAUAGUUUGGUAUCUGGUGAUGAGACGGUCGUCUACUCUGAUGGCGAGUCGUCCACCGAUGAGACCGAAUCGUUGUAUCAACUACAAGACGGCCGGCUUGGGGGAUGCUCUGAUGGCGACAGUAUUCCAGACCCCUAUGAGCCGCCGAACAGGGUUGCGAUCUUCAUGCCCGAUACGCAGCCCGUGCAGCACUCGUCGACUGCAGCAGAGAUGAUUUCCGGGUCAGCAGCGGCAACGGCUGCCGGGGCAGGAGGCCCUGUGCGCCUACUGGCUCAGAUCUUAACUGACUUGCUGGAUAAGCUGACAGCAUUAUUAACAGCAGUGGUUAACCCAACGGAUCAGGAUCAACAUAAUCCGGCAGUCGCAAAGUUGCGUGAUGAGAUAGCACAGGCCAAGGAGGAGCUGAACGCAGAAAAUGCUAGGAUAGCCGUGGAGCGGGCUGCUUUGGAUGCUCAGGCACAGCGGAUUCAGUCAGAGUCUUUCCUGCUCAUGCUGGAUCAGAACGCUUCAACCGAAGUCAUGAGGAGAAGGCAUCAGACUUGCCUACCGCCGGUUUACGAGGCGAGAAAUCUCUUUAACACGCCCGGAGCAGGGACCAGUAAUCAGCCAGUGGUAAACCGGGUUGAAGCGCCCGUGACGGGAGCAUCGGCUUAGCCGCGUGCAAUGGACCCGCUUCGUCAGGACAACAUCCCACCGCAGCAUGUGCCGACGCCACCGGGUCAUUAUUCUAACCCCUUGGAUAACAUGAUCGCUGUGGCGUCACGACUGGCGGCCCUCCCAGUGGAAGGUGAGUCUCCGACGGCGGUUGAAACAUGAAGGGCUAGAGAGCUGCUUCAGACAGCGUUGGUGCAACAGUAGGCUUAUUCUCACAGUCGUGACAGGAUUCAUUCAACCCCUCGCCCGAGCCGAAGUUAUAGCAGGCAUAUCGAGGAACCGGCCGUGUCAAGCAGUGGGUGGAACCGCAACCCGCCUCAUGGACAUAACCCGAGGUGGUGGGGUUAAUGCCCAGAACGCAGUGGAUCAAGGAAGAGCGCGUCGGGAGGCUGAGUUGGCGGCUCAGUAUGCAGCUUGUCAGCAUUCCCCGGUUCGUCUGACAACUUCGGUGGAGACAUGGGUGACUUUUAGGACUUUGGGUGUGCCGUGUUUGGCUCCGGCUCUACGUAACGUACGAUCGCCCAAGGAUUUCAAGGGUCCCCGUAAGGUGCCCAACUACACUGCCGACUUACCCCCUGAAACAUGGGCUGAGAGUUAUGAGAUGGCGAUGGAACCGCUGUAUGUUGACGAUGUUGCAUGUGCUAAGUAUUUCACCAUGAUGUUGGAAGGGACGGCUCGUACUUGGUUGAAAGGGUUGCCAGCCAACUCCAUUGGGUCAUGGGCCGAGUUAAAAGCUCGGUUUAUCCAGAAUUUUAAAGAUACAUGCAAGUGAUACGUCUCCAACGUAUCUAUAAUUUUUGAUUGUUCCAUGCUAUUAUAUUAUCCAUCUAGGAUGUUUUAUAUGCAUUUAUAUGCUAUUUUAUAUGAUUUUUGGGACUAACCUAUUAACCUAGAGCCCAGUGCCAGUUUCUGUUUUUUCCUUGUUUUUGAGUUUUACAGAAAAGUAAUACCAAAUGGAGUCCAAUUGACGUGUCAAUUUUUGAUGAUUUUUGAUGGACCAAAAGAAGACCCCGGAGUAAAAGAGUUGGGCCAGAAGAGUCCUGGGCUGCCCACGAGGGUGGGAGGCGCGCCCCCUACCUCGUGGACAGCCCGAAGAAGCCCCCGACUUGUUCUCGACGCCAAAACCUCUUAUAUAUACAGAAACCUCCAUAAAAUAACCUAGAUCGGGAGUUUCGCCGCCGCAAGCCUUUGUAGCCACCGAAAACCAAUCGGGACCCUGUUCCGGCACCCUGCCGGAGGGGGGAUCCCUCACCGGUGGCCAUCUUCAUCAUCCCGGCGCUCUCCAUGACGAGGAGGGAGUAGUUCAUCCUCGGGGCUGAGGGUAUGUACCAGUAGCUAUGUGUUUGAUCUCUCUCUCUCUCUCUCUCGUGUUCUUGAUUCGGCACGAUCUUGAUGUAUCGCGAGCUUUGCUAUUAUAGUUGGAUCUUAUGAUGUUUCUCCCCCUCUACUCUCUUGUAAUGGAUUGAGUUUUCCCAUUUGAAGUUAUCUUAUCGGAUUGAGUCUUUAAGGAUUUGAGAACACUUGAUGUAUGUCUUGCAUGUGCUUAUCUGUGGUGACAAUGGGAUAUCACGUGAUCCACUUGAUGUAUGUUUUGGUGAUCAACUUGCGAGUUCCGUGACCUCGUGAACUUAUGCAUAGGGGUUGGCACACAUUUUCGUCUUGACUCUCCGGUAGAAACUUUGGGGCACUCUUUGAAGUUCUUUGUGUUGGUUGAAUAGAUGAUCUGAGAUUGUGUGAUGCAUAUCGUAUAAUCAUACCCAUGGAUACUUGAGGUGACAUUGGAGUAUCUAGGUGACAUUAGGGUUUUGAUUGAUUUGUGUCUUAAGGUGUUAUUCUAGUACAAACUCUUGAAUAGAUUGAUCAAAAAGGAUAACUUUGAGGUGGUUUCGUACCCUACAAUAAUCUCUUCGUUUGUUCUCCGCUAUUAGUGACUUUGGAGUGACUCUUUUUUGCAUGUUGAGGGAUAGUUAUAUGAUCCAAUUAUGUUAUUAUUGUUGAGAGAACUUGCACUAGUGAAAGUAUGAACCCUAGGCCUUGUUUCAACGCAUUGCAAUAUCGUUUGUGCUCGCUUUUAUCAUUAGUUACCUUGCUGUUUUUAUAUUUUCAGAUUACAAAACCUAUAUCUACCAUCCAUAUUGCACUUGUAUCACCAUCUCUUCGCUGAACUAGUGCACCUAUACAAUUUAUCAUUGUAUUGGGUGUGUUGGGGACACAAGAGACUCUUUGUUAUUUGGUUGCAGGGUUGUUUGAGAGAGACCAUCUUCAACCUACGCCUCCCAUGGAUUGAUAAACCUUAGGUCAUCCACUUGAGGGAAAUUUGCUACUGUCCUACAAACCUCUGCACUUGGAGGCCCAACAACGUCUACAAGAAGAAGGUUGUGUAGUAGACAUCAAGCAAUUUCUGGCGCCGUUGCCGAGGAGGUGAGUGCUUGAAGGUAUAUCUUUAUAUCUUGCAAGCGAAUCUUUUUGUUUCUUGUUUUAUCACUAGUUUAGUCUAUAAAAUAAAACUACAAAAAAAUGGAAUUGAGGGUACCUCAUGUGCUUCAUCUUUUUAAUAUCUUUCAUGAAAAUAAGUAUUCCGAUAAUUGUGCCAAAAUGUUAGAAGAAGAAUGCAUUAGAAUGUUUGGCACUAAAUAUUUGAAUGAUGAGCAUGAUUGCAAUGUUGUUAGUAUGAAUUCUUUGAAUAUCCAUAGUACUAAUGAUGAUUGCACUAGUCAUGAUGAAAAUGUCUCUUAUAAGCAUGUCAACUUUUAUGGAAUACAUAGAGCUUGCAAGUACACACCAAAUAGGGAAGAUAGAUUUUGCAGGAGGCAUAAGUAUUUGGAAACUACAUGGUUGCAAGAAAGGCUAGAUGAUUGUGCUGAAAGAUUCAAUAUUUAUCGCCAUCCUUGUGAACUUUGCAAUGAACAUGGUCAUUUAAAGCUCCAAUGCUAUUUGUUUCAUGAUCAAAUCGUGUCCAAAAAUUGUGAUAACUUGAUUACCCUUGAGCAUCAUAAAUAUCUUAGUCUUCUUUUGGGGUAUGAAGAAAUGAAACGUAUAACUGAGGGAAUUCCAAAAUUUAAUCUUGAUAGAUUUCUUGAUUUUGAUCUAGAAGAAAUUUUCAUGUAUUGUGCGGUGAAUUGCAUUGAAAAUCCUUAUAUUGCCAAUUAUAUAAAGACACGAAAACAAAUAGAAGAUGAAGAGAAUACUAAUGAAAGGGAAGAGUAUUCCCAAUAUCCUCCUAUUAUUUCUUAUGAUGAAUCAGGUAACGAGGAGGAGCUUUCUAUUCAACCAAUCUCAUUAAUAAGGAGCUCAAAAGAGAGGGUUAAACCCACACAUGAUGUGAAGAAGAAAAAGAAAACACGGAGAAGCAAAGGUAGAAAGGUAUCUCUCCCAAAUGAUGUUGCUCCUAUUACUCAUUGUGAUGAUGAUAAUUGCUAUACUAUUGGUGCUAUCCAUACUAUUAAUGAUGAGAGUGAUUAUGCUUAUUAUAUGAAAAGUCCCGAGCUUGGGGAUGCUAUGUUUGAUGAGAAUGACAUGUUUGAGAAUAUAUUUUCUGCAAUUAAUGUUUGUCCCAAGCUUGGGGAUGCUAUGUUUAAUGAAGAUGAUAUUUUUAGCCUCCCAAGUUUUGAUGAGAAAAUUUAUUAUGAUGAUAGCAUGCCUCCUAUUUAUGAUGAUUAUUGUGAUGACACUUAUGCUAUAAAGAGUAGUGAUGAUUAUAUUUAUAAAACUUGUCAUGAUUAUGAUUACCCCUUUUCUGAACAUUACUCUUUUAAUGUGGAAACAAUUUAUAGUAUUCGAGUCUCUUAUGAUACUCCCACUAUUCCGAAUGAGAAGAAUUUUUCUUAUGUGGAGAGUAAUAAAAUUUCUAUUCUUGUAGAUCUUGAAAAGAAUGCUUUAGGUGCUGGUUAUAUUGUUGAAUUCAUUCAUGAUGCUACUGAAAAUUUUAAUGAGGGAGGAAUAUAUGCUUGUAGGAAUUGCAAUAAUAUCAAGUUUCCUCUCUAUGUGUUAAAAGUUUUGAAGUUAUACUUGUUUUGCCUUCCUAUGCUAGUUGAUUAUUGUUCCCAUAAGUUGUUUGCUCACAAAAUACCUAUGCAUAUGAAGUGGGUUAGACUUAAAUGUUCUUGCCAUGUGUUUCAUGAUGCUCUCUUUAUGUUUCAAUUCUUAUCUUUUAUACGAGCAUCAUUGAAAUCAUCAUGCCUAGCUAGAAAGGCAUUAAAGAAAAGUGCUUGUUGGGAGACAACCCAAUAUUUACCCCUACUGUUUUUGUGUGUUCACAUGAUUAAGAUACUGUAGUAAUCAUGUUUAUAGCUUUUGUUUCAAUAAAGUGCCAAGUAGAACUUUUGGAAAGACUUGGGUGGAAGUUAAUGUGAUCUUGCUGUAAAAAACAGAAACUUAGCACUCACGAGAUUAGCUGCCAUUUUUUACUGGAGAGUGAUUUUGGGUUUAUUCUUUUUGCAGAUGAUUAAUAGACAAAUUAUUCAGGUCCACCAAUUUAUUUCAGAAUUUUUGGAGUUCGAUAAGUAUAUGUUUGAUACAUAUUACUACAGAAUGUUCUGUUUUUGACAGAUUCUGUUUUCAUUGUGUUGUUUGCUUAUUUUGAUGAAUCUAUGAGUAGUAUCGGAGGGUACGAACCAUAGAGAAGUUGGAAUAGAGUAGAUAUUACACGAUUAUGAAUUUAGAAUGAGUUCACAACAGUACCUAAGUGGUGAUUUAUUUUCUUAUACUAACGGAGCUUACGAGUUUUCUGUUGAGUUUUGUGUUGUGAAGUUUUCAAGUUUUGGGUAAAGAUUCGAUGGACUAUGGAAUAAGGAGUGGCAAGAGCCUAAGCUUGGGGAUGCCCAAGGCGCCCCAAGGUAAUAUUCAAGUACAACCAAGAGCCUAAGCUUGGGGAUGCCCCGGAAGGCAUCCCCUCUUUCGUCUUCGUUCAUCGGUAACUUUACUUGGAGCUAUAUUUUUAUUCACCACAUGAUAUGUGUUUUGCUUGGAGCGUCAUUUUAUUUUAUUUUGUUUUGCUUGAUUUUUGAAUAAAAUAUCAAGAUCUGAAAUUCUUAAAUGUUAGAGAGUCUUCACAUAGUUGCAUAAUUAUUCGGCUACUCAUUGAUCUUCACUUAUAUCUUUCGGAGUAGUUUGUCAUUUGCUCUAGUGCUUCACUUAUAUCCUUUUAGAGCACGGCGGUGGUUUUAUUUUGAAGAAAUAGAUGAACUCUCAUGCUUCACUUAUAUUAUUUUGAGAGUCUUUAGAACAGCAUGGUAAUUUGCUUUGGUUAUAAAUUUUGUCCUAAUAUGAUAGGCAUCCAAGAGGGAUAUAAUAAAAACUUUCAUUUAAAGUGCAUUGAAUACUAUGAGAUGUUCGAUUCCUUAUGAUUGUUGUGAGAUAUGAAGAUGGUGAUAUUAGAGUCAUGCUAGUUGAGUAGUUGUGAAUUUGAGAGAUACUUGUGUUAAAGUUUGUGAUUCCCGUAGCAUGCACGUAUGGUGAACCGUUAUGUGAUGAAGUCAGGGCAUGAUUUAUUUAUUGAUUGUCUUCCUUAUGAGUGGCGGCCGGGGACGAGCGAUGGUCUUUUCCUACCAAUCUAUCUCCCUAGGAGCAUGCGUGUAGUACUUCGUUUUGAUAACUAAUAGAUUUUUGCAAUUAGUAUGUGAGUUCUUUAUGACUAAUGUUGAGUCCAUGGAUUAUACGCACUCUCACCCUUCCACCGUUGCUAGCCUCUCUAAUACCGCGCACCUUUCGCCGGUAUCAUACACCCACCAUUAUCUUCCUCAAAACAGCCACCAUACCUACCUAUUAUGGCAUUUCCAUAGCCAUUCCGAGAUAUAUUGCCAUGCAACUUUCCACCCUUCCGUUUAUUAUGACACGCUUCAUCAUUGUCAUAUUGCUUUGCAUGAUCAUGUAGUUGACAUUGUAUUUUGGGGCAAAGCCACCUUUAUAAUUCUUUCAUACAUGUCACUCUUGAUUCAUUGCACAUACCGGUACACCGCCGGAGGCAUUCAUAUAGAGUCAUAUUUUGUUCUAAGUAUUGAGUUAUAAUUCAUGAGUUGUAAGUAAAUAAAAGUGUGAUGAUCAUCAUUAUUAGAGCAUUGUCCCAGUGAGGAAAGGAUGAUGGAGACUAUGAUUCCCCCACAAGUCGGGAUGAGACUCCGGACGAAAAAAAAAGAUAAAAAAUAGGCCAAAAAAAGAAGAGAAAAAAAGAAGAAGAG